UAGGGAAUCUUCCACAAUGGACGGAAAGUCCUGAUGGAGCAACGCCGCGUGAGUGAAGAAGGGUUUCGGCUCGUAAAACUCUGUUGUUAAAGAAGAACACGUAUGAGAGUAACUGUUCAUACGUUGACGGUAUUUAACCAGAAAGUCACGGCUAACUACGUGCUAG
rnacentral:rRNA from 1 species